rnacentral:misc_RNA from 1 species
UAAUAAGUGUUUUAUGGCACUUUUUAAAUCCAUAUCCACCUUGUGUGCAAUGUCGGUCGAUCUUCUUUUUUUGAGGAUCGACCAAACAUCAACCUUUCUAUUUAACUCUUUGUCUGAAAACUAUUAUGAAUAAACUAAUUCAAAAUA